GAUCCUGGCUUAGGAUGAACGCUGGCGGCGUGCUUAACACAUGCAAGUCGAACGAAGCUCCUGAACUGAAGAUCGUCAGAUGGGAUAGGAAGACUUAGUGGCGGACGGGUGAGUAACGCGUGGGUAACCUGCCGUAUACAGGGGGAUAACAGUUAGAAAUGACUGCUAAUACCGCAUAAGCGCACAGUAAGGCAUCUUACAGUGUGAAAAACUCCGGUGGUAUACGAUGGACCCGCGUCUGAUUAGCCAGUUGGCAGGGUAACGGCCUACCAAAGCGACGAUCAGUAGCCGGCCUGAGAGGGUGUACGGCCACAUUGGGACUGAGACACGGCCCAAACUCCUACGGGAGGCAGCAGUGGGGAAUAUUGCACAAUGGGGGAAACCCUGAUGCAGCGACGCCCGCGUGAGUGAUGAAGUAUUUCGGUAUGUAAAGCUCUAUCAGCAGGGAAGAUAAUGACGGUACCUGACUAAGAAGCACCGGCUAAAUACGUGCCAGCCGCAGC
rnacentral:rRNA from 1 species